GACGCACGCUGGCGGCGUGCUUAACACAUGCAAGUCGAACGAGUGGCGAACGGGUGAGUAAUACGUGAGUAAACUGCCCUCCUUUUGGGAUAAGCAUUGGAAACGCGGUCUAAUAUCGGAUAAAGGGGGAUGGGCUCGCGGCCUAUCAGCUAGUUGGUGGGGUGAUGGCAUACCAAGGCGGUGACGGGUAGCCGGCCUUGGAGGGUGACUGGCCAUAUUGGGACUGAGGUAGGGCCCAGACUCCUGCGGGAGGGAGCAGUGGGGGGUAUUACACAAUGGGCUAAAGCCUGAGGCAGCGACGACACGUGGGGGAUGAAGACUUUCGGGUUGUAAACCUCUUACGCUCUCGAACGGGUGGGUGGAGAAGAAGCGCCGGCUAACUCCGUGCCAGCAGCCGCGGUAAUAC
rnacentral:rRNA from 1 species